rnacentral:rRNA from 1 species
GCAGGCGCGAAACCUUUACACUGCACGCAAGUGCGAUAAGGGGACUCCGAGUGCGAGGGCAUAUCGUCCUCGCUUUUCUGUACCGUAGGGUGGUACGGGAACAAGAGCUGGGCAAGACCGGUGCCAGCCGCCGCGGUAAUACCGGCAGCUCAAGUGAUGGCCGAUCUUAUUGGGCCUAAAGCGUCCGUAGCCGGCCUCGCAAGUCCGUCGGGAAAUCCACGCGCCCAACGCGUGGGCGUCCGGCGGAAACUCCGAGGCUUGGGACCGGAAGGCUCGAGGGGUACGUCCGGGGUAGGAGUGAAAUCCCGUAAUCCCGGACGGACCACCGAUGGCGAAAGCACCUCGAGAAGACGGAUCCGACGGUGAGGGACGAAAGCUCGGGUCUCGAACCGGAUUAGAUACCCGGGUAGUCCGAGCCGUAAACGAUGUUCGCUAGGUGUGGCACUGGCUACGAGCCAGUGCUGUGCCGUAGGGAAGCCGAGAAGCGAACCGCCUGGGAAGUACGUCCGCAAGGAUGAAACUUAAAGGAAUUGGCGGGGGAGCACUACAACCGGAGGAGCCUGCGGUUUAAUUGGAUUCAACGCCGG